UCUAAGAAUCAUCUUAGUGAUGACACGUGGGUUCAAAAAGAAGUUGUAAUGUUUCACAAAUAAUAUAUCGGGGAUUUUUCUCUCUUCCUGUUGCUGCCACAUCAAUAAUCACUCCUCUCAGAUUGACAUGUGUCCUAUUUUUUUAUUCUCUUCAUUACUCUUAUUUGUGGACUUAACAAUUGAACUAAAUGGGCUUACGAAUUGAAUGUUAUCUAUCUGACUGGUCAAACCCAUUAUUUUUUUUUGUAACACGGUCAAACCCAUUAUCUGAACUCCGUAAACUACCUUUCCUCUUCGUCUUCAACAAUUACUUCGCUUUCUAGGGUUCAUGGUGUUUUCAGCUCAUGUUCAUAAUCCGACCAUGGAGUUUCUGGAAGGUGAUGGGACUUUUAACGGUGAAUAUCUAGAGUGAAUUGUUGUUCGUGUCGUUUGGAUUUACGCCGGGUAAGGGGAAUUGAUGUUCGUGUCAUGAAUGACCAUCUUAACUCCUUCAUUCCACUUACGAUUCCUCAUUCAAUUCACUGCAUCUCCCUUGACUCUCAGUCGUUGAAUCUCUAUGUAUAAAAAGGUGAGCCUUCAUCCCCAGAACAUCACCCUUUCAUUCCUUACAACCCAAAAAACUUCCGUAGAGCAAAAUGGCGAACUCAUCUGUCCUCCUUGCUGACAAUCAAAACACAUAAGAGUUGAUUUGUUGCAGACCUUGCGGGGAAUGGUAACAUCAAAUAUGUGUUCUUUACAAUCUACAUAAAUACAUUGACACAACCGCAUACUUCUUUUGAUUGUGUCAGUUGCUGUUUUUUCUUCUCAAUUUUCAUACUUCACUAUUACAAGACUCAAUCAAGUCUGGCUGAUGUAGUUUAUCACUGCAACUGUUUAACUUUGUUCCAAAAUAUCUGUUCUGUUGAUACUUGAUGUUAACUUUCUGUGUGGCAAGAGUAACCAAUAUUUGACAUAGUGCCGAGGCCUAUGCUCGAGUCAGAGCGCAUUUGAUUUCACAAUAGAUUUUCUUACAUGGGUCCGACAAUAUGGUUUCACCUAAAUAGUUCUAGCUUUAUGAAUGAAUCUGAACCAGAGCCGGUUGGUAAUGUUUGUUAAUUAGUCCGAUCUAUGAGCUUUUUUGUCACAUUUCAACUGAGAUGUUAACUUGGUAGUUCUUCUUGGACACGUGAGAGCAGGAGCCCAACCGAAAUAACCAUCUCCACCAAUGACUAGAACACUUAGAUUUUAAUGAUGAGUUAUUGGUAGAUGUUUCAGGUUGCGGUUGCUCGGAAAUGACAACUUCUUCUCUUCUGUUUCUCUUGGAAGACAAGUACUUUGAGAGAAUAUCUGAAAUGACUUUAGGAUUGAAGGUCUGCCUUAAACCAAACGGUUUAACCAAACGAGUUAGGCAAGAGGAGCACAUGGGAGGUUAGGCAGGUCCAGUGGUAGAUAAUCUUCUGUAGCUGUUUUCUUAACGUGGGUGAUGAUAUUGGAGGAGAAGCCGACAGAGCUGCUGCUGAUAUCGGUUUGUAGACAAAUUUUAACUUUACACAAGACAAAUUCGACUAUGAUAUAUACUUAUAACAUAUCCAAAUAUUCUGAUAUAAAGUUACACGACCUUUGAUAUUUUUCUGCGUAUAACCAGUAUGCAACUUACAGAGAUAUAAUUUAUGUUCAAUUUAUAUUAUUUUAGUUAUAAUU